rnacentral:sRNA from 1 species
GCUGGGUAUAGUGGUGCACACCUGUAAUCCCAGUGACUCUGGAGGCUGUGGCAGGAGAAUCUCAAGUUCAAGGCAAGUCUGAGCAACUUUAGAAGGCCCUAAGCAACUUAAUGAGACCCUGUCUCAA